rnacentral:lncRNA from 1 species
GCGGCGAUCGCGAUCGGAGCGCCCACCCGAGCCUUCCCCCCCACGGGCAAGGAAAGUGAAGUGGAAACAAUGUGAAAUUCACCAGCUCUGAAAUCAACAAGCUGCCGGCUCGGGAGCUACGGAGCCAACAGCGGCGUCCCCAUUUAAAGGGACAGCGCACCCGGUGGAGAGAAGAAAUAAAUACUCGAAGAGGUCUGCGCGCCCGGAUCGCUCGCCAGCGUGUGUUCCGCAGACGCGCGAGGUGCGGACGUGUUCUCUCCACACCUCCGCCGCCCCCACUGGGCUCGCCAAGCGCAUUCAAGGAUAAAAGAGUCUUCUCGGCGGCUUCUAAGGGCGUGUCCCCGCGAGGACGUCUGUCUGCGGGCGCGUUUGCAUCUCUACCCCGGGAACCCCGACACCUUUAGAUGGCGAAAGGAACCUACCUGCUUUAAGGAAUAUGAAACCGAUCUUCUCUUUUGCAGAAGGAAAGAGAUGAAAGGAAGAAUGAAGAGAAAGACAAUUACUGAAAGAUGUUCAAGAAUGUCUGAACUUUGUUUAAAAAAUAAUGCAUACAUCCAGAGUUUUGAAGAAUGCCUGAACAGUCCACCGUCUACGGAAGUACUAAGGACAAGAUUUUUAUCCCUGUUCAGAUACUAGAAUCUCUCCUAAAAUAGAGUGAACAACCUCAGGGAUGAUCAUCAGGAGCUCAAUCCCAGAGUACGAAGACUCCAAAGUCACUUUCAGAGACUUCCCUGGUGACACUGAGGAGUGACAAGAACCAGCACAGAAGCCCAUGUGUCUCAUGCUAGAGGGACAUGGGGUGUGUUCCAAAUGGAGAGAAUACAUGAGGAAUUUGAGAAGCUGGAAGAAGGCCAGUUCAUCUGGAAUAGGGAAGGGAGGGGAAGAAUGGCAAGGAAUGAAACUAGAGAUGGAGGAGAGCCAGAUUGUGAUUAAGAUGGCAGGUCCAGUCACAAGAAGAAACACCUUGCUGAGCAUCACACAUGGUCCGGAGGUGGAUGAACACUUGCCUCUCUCUGGUGCCCUUUCUAGGACUGUUCCUUCUCUUUAGUUGGUUGGCUGAGUAUUUGGUUUGCACUUUUUUUUUUUCUAAUUUGGGUUGUUAUUUUUCUUUUUCCACUUAUGAAUGUAGGGCUUUCAUUUGUCUCUUACACUACUGCUGGUUUCCAUUGCUGUAAGUAGCAUUUGCCCAGGUAAAACAUUUCCCCUUCAGGUUUAAGACAAAGCUGGUUUCUUCCAAUAAG